UAAAUUAAUAUCAUAUCGACAACAGCUUAAACGGUUGCUAAAAAUUUGAACCAAUAUGCAUAUGCGACAGUUGUCAACCGAAUAUUCUUUACAAAAAAAUAUAAAACAUCCUCCAACAAUACUAAUAAUUUUUGAUAUUCAAUAACUCGAAUUUUUGUAUCUAAAACAAAACAAAAGUAUCGAUAAUA